rnacentral:rRNA from 1 species
CCCUUAGAUGUUCUGGGCCGCACGCGCGUUACAAUGAUGCACUCAACAGGCAUAUAACCUUGGCCGAGAGGCCUGGGUAAUCCCGUUAACUUGCAUCGUGUUAGGGAUAGAUUAUUGCAAUUAUUAAUCUUGAACGAGGAAUUCCUAGUAAUCGCAGAUCAUCAAUCUGCAAUGAUUACGUCCCUGCCCUUUGUACACACCGCCCGUCGCACCUACCGAUUGAAUGGUCCGGUGAAGACUCGGGAUCGUGGCUUAGUCGCUUGCGUCCGACUGCUGAAACUUGAUUAAACCAUAUCAUUUAGAGGAAGGUGAAGUCGUAACA